rnacentral:rRNA from 1 species
UACGGAGGGUGCGAGCGUUGUCCGGAAUCAUUGGGCGUAAAGGGCGCGUAGGUGGCCUGCUAAGCGUGCGGUGAAAGCUCGGGGCUCAACCCCGAGUCGGCCGUGCGAACUGGUGGGCUUGAGCACUGUAGAGGCAGGCGGAAUUCCGGGUGUAGCGGUGGAAUGCGUAGAGAUCCGGAAGAACACCGGUGGCGAAGGCGGCCUGCUGGGCGAGUAGCUGACACUGAGGCGCGGACAGCGUGGGGAGCAACAGG